GGGUUGUGAGGUUAAGCGACUAAGCGUACACGGUGGAUGCCCUGGCAGUCAGAGGCGAUGAAGGGCGUACUAAUCUGCGAUAAGCGCCGGUAAGGUGAUAUGAACCGUUAUAACCGGCGAUACCCGAAUGGGGAAACCCAGUGUGAUUCGUCACACUAUCAUUAACUGAAUCCAUAGGUUAAUGAGGCGAACCGGGGGAACUGAAACAUCUAAGUACCCCGAGGAAAAGAAAUCAACCGAGAUUCCCCCAGUAGCGGCGAGCGAACGGGGAGGAGCCCAGAGCCUGAAUCAGCAUGUGUGUUAGUGGAAGCGUCUGGAAAGGCGCGCGAUACAGGGUGACAGCCCCGUACACAAAAGCGCAUGUGCUGUGAGCUCGAUGAGUAGGGCGGGACACGUGGUAUCCUGUCUGAAUAUGGGGGGACCAUCCUCCAAGGCUAAAUACUCCUGACUGACCGAUAGUGAACCAGUACCGUGAGGGAAAGGCGAAAAGAACCCCGGCGAGGGGAGUGAAAAAGAACCUGAAACCGUGUACGUACAAGCAGUGGGAGCACAGGUUUACCUGUGUGACUGCGUACCUUUUGUAUAAUGGGUCAGCGACUUAUAUUCUGUAGCAAGGUUAACCGAAUAGGGGAGCCGGAGGGAAACC
rnacentral:rRNA from 1 species